CAAAACCCUAUAAGGGAUUAACUAAAUUUCAUCCAUUUUUUAAAUUCCAUUCUCAUUCUUGAAUGAUACUUGCUUUUGGAUAGAGUCUAAUUAACAGCUACUUUGCUUUAGGAUUUUGAAAUGUCGUUCCACUGAUUUCUAGCUUCUAUUGUUGCUGUUCUAAUUACUAUUCCUCUAGGUAAUUUGUCUUCCUUCUCUGGCUGCAUUUAGGCUUUGAUGUAUAUGUGUUGUCUCUAACAUUAAUUUCAUUUCUGUAUCCAGAUGCUUCUUUUUCAUUUAAUUGGCUCAAAUUUCUUUAUGUUUCUUAAACAUGAAGAGUCACAUUUUUAAUCAAUUUGGAAAACUUCUCAGACACUAUCUUCUCAAACUUUAUCCAUUCCAUGUUCUUUUUUCUUUCCUAUCCCAGUUAUUGACUCACUGGUGCAUGUGGUGUGCUCUCCUCUCCCUCUCUCCUUUCUCUCUCUCUCUCUCUCUCUCUCUCUCUCUCUCUCUCUCUCUCCUCUCUCUCUCUCUCUCUCUCUCCCCCCUUCACCCCCAUGUUUCUUCUUUCAUUUUCUAUCCCUGUCAAUUUGUGCUAUUUCUUGUCACUAUCUGCACUAACCUCAAGACACUAUCUUUCUUUUCUACUCGAAUUGUCGAUUCAAUCACCCUUUUUUUCUUUUCUAGACGUUCUAUUUGACAUUAUAAAACUUGCCUGGUCUUUUCCUAAUAUUGCAUUUUUUCCUAGUGUUUUCAUCCUACCUACUGUGUCUUUGAUCAUCUUGAACAGGCUCGUUUCCUAUUCUUUCAGUAUUCCGUUCUAUUAUCUGUUCCUCAUAUCACAUCUUCCUGAUUUGGUCAUUCAUAGCAGGUUGCUUCACUGUGAGUUCUGUGCCCCGUUAGACCCAGUUCUGUACCUUUUUAAGUUCUGUACCAUCAAUCUCUUCCAAGUAGUUUGGCAUUUUCUUGUGCCAGGCAGACAUCCCAAAAGCUUAAACCAAUUAUUUUUUUUUCACCUGAGAAAGAUGGCUAAAGCUAGAACCAGCAGCGAUGACCCAGGACAGUUGGUUGUACUGGACAGAACCUAUACAACGAACAAUAUCUCCCUACCUCUCGUAUCAGUUUGUUACUCACUCUCAACUGAAUAACUGCCCCCUGCCCAUGGCUGGGGAAAAAAAAAAAGAAUUCUAUGACCACAGCAAUGACUGAAAAAAAAAAAGUGGGAAAAUAAGGUGGAGCAAGAGGAAGGCAGAAAGGAGAGUGUUUUAGAAUGCAUUUACCAUGGUGGGUUUCUACAGUGGUUAGUGCAAGUGUCCAGGUCAUAAGUCAAGACAGAUACAAGACCUUCAGCCAAAUAAGAAUGUGGCCUUCUGAAACCUUAAAAGACUGAGGCUAACUUGCCAUAGUGAUGUACAAAUUGUGUAGCUGAGAAUGAAAAGGCACCAUUUCCCAUGUAGAUAGCUCUCAUCUAGGAUGAGAAAUAAACUCUCAAGACAAAAAGAUAUGGAGGAAUUUUAAAUGCAUGUUGCUAAGUGAAAGAAUCCAAUUUGAAAAGGCCAUGCUCUGUAUGGAAAAGGCAAAACUACUGGAGGCAGUAAAAAGAUCCGUGGUUGACAGGGGUUAGCAGAGAGAAAGAAUAGGCAGACCACAGAGGAUUUUUAAGGUAGUGAAACUAUUGUAUGUGAUACUGUAGUGGUGGCGGCAGGGCAAUAUGCAGUUGUCCAAAUCCACAGAAUGCACACUGCGAGUUCACGACUAUGUAAACUAUGGGCUGUAAGUAGUAUAUUAAUUAUAACGUUAUGGAGGCUCUUUAUAUUUUGUGCUCAUUUUUUCCAUAAACUUAAGACUGUUCUUAAAAAAAUUGAAUCUAUUGUCUGGCUAUCGUGGCACUGGCCUAUAAUCC
rnacentral:lncRNA from 1 species